UCGGAUUGUAGUCUGCAACCCGACUACAUGAAGCUGGAAUCGCUAGUAAUCGCGGAUCAGAAUGCCGCGGUGAAUACGUUCCCGGGUCUUGUACACACCGCCCGUCACACCAUGGGAGUCGGAAAUGCCCGAAGUCUGUGGCCUAACCGUAAGGAAGGAGCAGCCGAAGGCAGGUCGGAUGACUGGGGUGAAGUCGUAACAAGGUAGC
rnacentral:rRNA from 1 species